rnacentral:lncRNA from 1 species
CAUAGCUUUGGGUUCUGUUUCAGUGAAUUUUUUUGUCGCUGUGACCAAAUGACCUGACAAGAACAAUUUUAGAGGAUAAAGAGCAUUUAUUUGGUAUUCACAGUGCCUGAAUCUAUUGCUCUUGGCCUAAGGGGAGGUAGAAUAUUAUGGUGGAAGGAUGUGGAGGAGGAAAGCAGAUCAGGACAUGACAAUCAAGAAGCAGAGAGCACUCUGUGCACCAGGAACAAAAUAUAAACCCCAAAGGUACGCCCCUAAUAACCUAUCUCCUCCAGCCACAUUCUACCUGCCUACAGUUACUGCCUGGUUAGUCCACUUCAGGGGAGUAAUGCACUGUUUAAGUUAAGGCUCUCAUAACCCAAUCAUUUCACCUCCAAACCUUCUUGCAUUGUCUCCCACAUGAGCUUUUAGGGGACACUUCAUAUCUGAACCAUAACAGGUUCUAGACUGGGUUUAACACUUGUGAUAACUUAAAUGUCCUUUUCUGGCAAGUCAAGGUAAAUGAUUUCUCCUUGUCUCCCAGAUAAUGGAGAGAACAUGUAUAUUCAGGAUUGUGAUGCUGUCCUUAUUUGAAAUUUCUUAUUUUUAAAUUUUGAAAAAUUUAAGAUGUACAUAGAGAAUUGUUCAUGGUGUAGGGAUGUAUCCUUUAGAAUGUGAAGGGGAGCAGAGCACCUGUGUCACCAACCCCCAGCUGGAGACAAGAACUUUUCUACCAGUACCUUUGGUAGCCCCUCCCAGAUCCCAUCUCUUUUUCUGCAUCUGGCACCUUGGUGGUAACAUCCUCUAGAGACUUGUGGUAGUUGUUCCUUGCUUAUCUUUGUAGUUUUACUGCCUUUGCCUAAAUCUCUGAAUAUGUAGCUGUUUAAUUUUCACUGAUUUUGAGAUUUUUAUUAGUGGAAUCAGACUAUAUACUUUUGAGUGUUUGGCUUCUUUUAUUUGACAUUGUUUUAAGAUUCAUCUGUAUAGUUCAUUCAGUUUUGUUGUAUAUUGUAAGACUAUACCGUAGUAUAGUCAAUUACUAUUGAUGCAUUUGAGUUUGUUUCAGUCUUUGUAUACUAGGAAUAAUGCUGUGAUAAACUUUUUUAUAUAUGAUUUCCAUUAUGCAUAAACACAUUUUUUUUUUAGAACAUACAGCUAGGAGUAGAAAUGUGGACUUUUAGUAGGUGUGUCUUCAACUUUACCAUAAAAUAU